UACGUAGGGUGCGAGCGUUAAUCGGAAUUACUGGGCGUAAAGCGUGCGCAGGCGGUUCGUUAAGUCCGAUGUGAAAGCCCCGAGCUUAACUUGGGAAUGGCAUUGGAAACUGGCGGGCUGGAGUGUGGCAGAGGGGGGUGGAAUUCCACGUGUAGCAGUGAAAUGCGUAGAGAUGUGGAGGAACACCGAUGGCGAAGGCAGCCCCCUGGGCCAACACUGACGCUCAGGCACGAAAGCAUGGGGAGCAAACAGG
rnacentral:rRNA from 1 species